GACGGAGGAGGCAAGCGUUAUCCGGAAUUAUUGGGCGUAAAGGGUACGUAGGCGGCUGGUCAAGUCUGGGGUCAAAGGCCACAGCUCAACUCCGGAUCGGCCCUGGAAACUGCCAGACUAGAGUAAGGUAGGGGUUGCGGGAAUUCCCGGUGUAGCGGUGAAAUGCGUAGAUAUCGGGAAGAACACCUGAGGCGGAAGCGCGCAACUGGGCCUCAACUGACGCUGAGGUACGAAAGCUAGGGGAGCGAAUGGG
rnacentral:rRNA from 1 species